GUUCCUGCUGUCUCAGCCCUAAUACCCACUCUCAGUGGGGCCAUCUCAGAGCCUCAGGAGAAUUUGAAGUUUGAAGAGGACCCUGAACUGUGAAAAAUGGGCUGGGUGAUGUAAUAUAUUUAGAAAAGUUGUCUGAUAUGCGUAUUUGACUAAAUUCUUUCCCUGACCAAUCCUGUCCCCUCUAUUUUGUCUUUCCUCAUUCCCCCUGAUAAACCCAUCACAGUUCUGA